rnacentral:rRNA from 1 species
AACGUAGGUCACAAGCGUUGUCCGGAAUUACUGGGUGUGAAGGGAGCGCAGGCGGGAAGACAAGUUGGAAGUGAAAUCUAUGGGCUCAACCCAUAAACUGCUUUCAAAACUGUUUUUCUUGAGUAGUGCAGAGGUAGGCGGAAUUCCCGGUGUAGCGGUGGAAUGCGUAGAUAUCGGGAGGAACACCAGUGGCGAAGGCGGCCUACUGGGCACCAACUGACGCUGAGGCUCGAAAGUGUGGGUAGCAAACAGG